CAAAACCAGGAGCCCCUUAGCAGGAUAGUUUUACUGAAAUCAAGUCUUUAGAAUUACAUGGGAGCUGAAGCAAUACUUCUGUAUUCAUGCUUUCCAUCUCAGCUUUGGGACACAUGACUUCUACUUGCACCUUGAGUUAUGACAGGGAGGCAGUAUCUUAAAGAUUUCUAGAAACUGUCACUUCAAUGCAGCUUUGAAUUUGGGAUUAUAACCUUGUUCUGCACUGUUCUGGAGAAAUAGGGAUGAAAGAAAAUCUUCCUCUACAGUUUGUGCAUGUUUUAAGAUAUAUACAAACCUAGUAAUGUUUUAGUAUAUUAAGAAGAAAACAGUUUAAGACACAUCUGAAGUUAUGCUAGUUUUUUUGUUGUUGUUGUCUUCUAUGGGCUAACACUGUGAAUGUUUUUUCAUAUUGCAGGAAAAGCUUUGCAACUGUUAUAAAAAAUUUUGAUCAAAAGCAUUUAAAUAGAAACUUCACCAGCAUAAUAGUAUUAUCUUUUACUAGAUUAUUGAGGUAUAAGAAAAGCCUGAUAUUUCAGUAAUUGAAAAAUAAUACUCAAGCAGUAGAACUUGUUCUAACACCAGAUGAUAAGAGUGUGUUCUGUCCUGGAAUUCUGAAUAUCAUUAAGAAAUGCUGAGAAUGGAAUUUCCAAAGUGCAUUUGAAGUAAUACAAUAUUUAUGAUGGUAAAGAAUGUACCAUUGGCUUCCCACAUCAUCCCUUGAGGCUUGUUGGCUGCAUAAUUAACAUAAGUAUAAAUUAGAUUUCAGUAAAAUCAGAUGAUGAUUUCAUUUUGUAGCAAAAAGACAAAGACAGGGAUCAGAAAGCUUGGUAACAUCUGACUGGCCUUUCUGACUGGCCUUUUUAACUAUCUAUAAAUGACACAUUAUCUUAUGUCGGGCAAUAAUGGUGGUGGGUUAAAACAGCUAUAGCUGAUGGCUAAAAGCAGGAGAUUGCUGACUGAUAAAGAGUGAUUGCUGCAGUCAUUGAUGAAGAGGUUUGAAAAUUGCACUGAUUAAUUGUUUGCCCAGAUGAGCAUGUGGUGUCCCAUUAGAAUGCUUAAUUGUCAAAGUCAAAAUUCACUAAUUUUCUAUGGAAUCUAACUUAAAAAGUGGACUACUCGGCUAAAGUUAAUUGUGCAGUAAUAUUUAUGCAUAACCUACAUCUGGGUUUAGAAAUUCCUUCUAGGACUGGAAAUAGUGAAAGCAAACAUUCAAAAUGCCAAUCCCUUAUAUAUUGCCUUCUCAUCUGUGUGACCUGUUAUCAUGAGACCACCGACCCAUUAAAAGCAUACACUCAAUUCACUGAUGCUGGCCAAAAGUUUCAGAAGUGGAGUAGGUAGAGUUUUUUAGAAGCAAAACUAGGAUAUUUUGAAAUUAACUAUUGACUCUAGACUUCUGGCUGCUUUCCCAAGGUUACUGACAGUCAUAUUCAUUUCCUUAGGGAGAGCCCCUGUUCUGGUUGAAAUCAAUGGGAAUUUUGACACUUCAGUAUAGUCAGGAAUUCCCUUUAGAUGCCUGAGUUAAUCUAAUGGAGUGAAAUACCAAAGAAACAUUUAGUCCAAAAAUUAAGAAUGCUGUUCAUCUGUGAGGUCUGAGUCUACAAAAUAGUUUUUCAAUGAGAAACUGCUUGGUAUAUGUCUCUAUCAAAUGUCCAUAAGGAAUAAUCUCUAUGCAACAUAACAUGUAUUAAAUGAGGUGGUACUUUGUGGCUCAUUGAGAAAAAACUCAAAAUUUCUGUGGUGUUUAAAUCAACCAUAGCUGACUAUAAAGUUUUACGCCGUUUUUAGCUGGUGGAGUCUGAGACAGAGGCCUUUAUAAACUUUAAUAUUGUCUGAUAAUUGCCUU